GGGCCCUUAGCUUAAUAGGUAGAGUAUCUAAUUGUCAAUUAGAGCGGUUUCAGUUCAAAUCUGGAAGGGCUCG
rfam:Leucoagaricus sp. SymC.cos contig33947, whole genome shotgun sequence.